GACGAACCGAGCGAACGUUGUUCGGAAUCACUGGGCUUAAAGGGCGCGUAGGCGGGCCGCCAAGUCUGAGGUGAAAUCUUUCGGCUUAACCGGAAAAUAGCCUUGGAUACUGGCGGUCUCGAGGGUGGUAGGGGCAUGUGGAACUUCCGGUGGAGCGGUGAAAUGCGUUGAUAUCGGAAGGAACGCCGGUGGCGAAAGCGACGUGCUGGACCACUACUGACGCUGAGGCGCGAAAGCCAGGGGAGCAAACGGG
rnacentral:rRNA from 1 species